UAGUGUCAAUUAUUGCUUUUAGAGCAGGA
rnacentral:piRNA from 1 species